UGUACAGAUCCACACAAAAUUCGUUUAGAUGACUUUAAUCUUGAUCCAGUGGUUAAGGAGAGUGAUUUAAAUCAAAAGUCAGAGACAUCCAAAAAUGUAUUGCCUUCGGAUCUAACUCUACUCGCUGAUAACAAUAAACAAAGUCAAAAAACAACGGCGAAGACGAAAAUAAUGACAGCAAAAAAAUAUACAAAAAGUCUCUUUAUGACCUAUG